rnacentral:rRNA from 1 species
AUGAGCGCUGGCGGCGUGCCUCAUACAUGCAAGUCGAGCGAACGGACGAGAAGCUUGCUUCUCUGAUGUUAGCGGCGGACGGGUGAGUAACACGUGGAUAACCUACCUAUAAGACUGGGAUAACUUCGGGAAACCGUAGCUAAUACCGGAUAAUAUUUUGAACCGCAUGGUUCAAAAGUGAAAGACGGUCUUGCUGUCACUUAUAGAUGGAUCCGCGCUGCAUUAGCUAGUUGGUAAGGUAACGGCUUACCAAGGCAACGAUGCAUAGCCGACCUGAGAGGGUGAUCGGCCACACUGGAACUGAGACACGGUCCAGACUCCUACGGGAGGCAGCAGUAGGGAAUCUUCCGCAAUGGGCGAAAGCCUGACGGAGCAACGCCGCGUGAGUGAUGAAGGUCUUCGGAUCGUAAAACUCUGUUAUUAGGGAAGAACAUAUGUGUAAGUAACUGUGCACAUCUUGACGGUACCUAAUCAGAAAGCCACGGCUAACUACGUG